GAGUGAAACAAAUUAAAGUGACUCCAUGGCAGAUUCAAUAAAGCCACCUUCUACUCAUAAAGCUGUAGAUGAAGUGAAUUUAAAACUAAC